ensembl:lncRNA
GAAGGAUGUAUUUACAAAGUAAUCUGUAGCAGGACCAAUUCAUCAUAAUUUCAAAGGCAAGAUUAGCAGAGACAAGUUCAAGAUAUACAGAAUUACUGUAACUCACAACUUUAUUUCCCCUUUCGUUUCAGGUUAUUAUGAAAAGGUAUUUUAAUCUUUGUUUCCCAGUUCAUUAAAACCAGUUACACCUGUCAGAAAGAGAACAUGUCCAGGGUGAGUUACAAAGGAAACAAUUUUGGCAUCUGCUCUGACAUUCCUCCUGAAUGGAUGGUUGGUCUGAGAAGGUAUAAAGGUUUGAAGGUUGGAUGCUGGAGGCAGAUAGGUAGAGAGGAAUCCUCCAGAGAGAUCCAGGCAUCAUGUCCUCCUCCACACCGGUGUUGCUGCAUCUGCUGCUACUGGUCUCCCUGGCUUCAGCGGGACACUUCUAUGGAGGCUCCAUGUCUGUCACCCCCAAAGGGAGGAACGCUGAUGGAACAUUCAAGGUGGAUUUACGCUACAAGAAUACACAUGAUUGGUGUGAUUACUCUCGCUGGUAUUGUUCCUCGGGGAACUGCGGCUCUUCCAUCAAAGAUGUCCGAGGCACAAUUGACAGCAGCAGCAGAGGACGGAGUGGUUACAACAACCAGUGGUGUGAAACUGAAACAGUCGAGACCAGAAAUAUCCCCAGUGAUAAACCUUUUCAAUUGAUACAAAACAGCUGCUGUUGGAUCCCAACAGUAAACCGUCUUGGAUCUUGGAGCCUGGAAACACAAGUGGAUCUGGGAACAAGAUCUGAUACUGGUGAACCCAACAGAUCUCCAGUCACAGCCAUUCUUCCUUUCAUACGUGUUCCCCAGAACUGUCAGAGGUCCUACAACCUCAUGGCCUUUGACCCUGACGGUGAUCGUGUCAGAUGCAGAUACGGAUUGGUCAGACCUGAGUGCGAUAGGUGUGAUCAGCCUUCAGGUUUCUACCUGGAUCAGGGCUCUUGCUCCUUACAAUACGGCUACACUUCAACGAGUGGCGUCUACGGGUUUGAGCUGGUUGUAGAGGACUUUCCUAACCAACACAUCACCCUGUCCUACACCGAUGGCUCUAGUUCCUCCAGGGCACCGCUUCAUGCAGGGAGACGCCGACGCGCCAGCUACCAAACAACCGUCUCCUAUCCCUGGUGGUGGAGCCAAACCACCACCACUCCUUCUCCUUGGUGGUGGAGCCAAACCACCACAACUCCUUCUCCUUGGUGGUGGAGCCAAACCACCACAACUCCUUCUCCUUGGUGGUGGUGGAGCCAAACCACCACUGUCGCCCCCUGGCCCACUACCACCACCACCACCCCGCCCACUACCACCACCACCCCCUGGCCCACUACCACCACCACCACCCCGCCCACUACCACCACCACCCCUGGCCCACUACCACCACCACCACCCCUGGCCCACUACCACCACGCCCUGGCCCACUACCACCACCCCGCCCACUACCACCACCACCCCCUGGCCCACUACCACCACCCCCUGGCCCACUACCACCACCACCCCCUGGCCCACUAC